rnacentral:rRNA from 1 species
UACAGAGGGUGCAAGCGUUGUUCGGAAUUAUUGGGCGUAAAGGGUGCGUAGGCGGUUCGUUAAGUCUGUUGUGAAAUCCCCGGGCUCAACCUGGGAAUGGCAAUGGAUACUGGCGAGCUAGAGUGUGAUAGAGGAUGGUGGAAUUCCCGGUGUAGCGGUGAAAUGCGUAGAGAUCGGGAGGAACAUCAGUGGCGAAGGCGGCCAUCUGGAUCAACACUGACGCUGAAGCACGAAAGCGUGGGGAGCAAACAGG